UACGAAGGGUGCAAGCGUUACUCGGAAUUACUGGGCGUAAAGCGUGCGUAGGUGGUUUCUUAAGUCUGCUGUGAAAGCCCCGGGCUCAACCUGGGAAUUGCAGUGGAUACUGGGGAGCUAGAGUGCGGUAGAGGGUAGUGGAAUUCCCGGUGUAGCGGUGAAAUGCGUAGAGAUCGGGAGGAACACCAGUGGCGAAGGCGGCUACCUGGACCAGCACUGACACUGAGGCACGAAAGCGUGGGGGGCAAACAGG
rnacentral:rRNA from 1 species